GGAGAGCAAACUGGAUGGGGCUUCUAUCACCCCAUGGGCCACUAGGGUUGGUUCAUUUGAUCUGGCUGGGUUAUGGGUCCCCUUCUUGGCUUUACAUUCCAUGAAGUUGCAUACUUCCUCAAGGAGAAAUACCAGAGAGAGAAAGGCCUUCAUAUGGGCAAGGGAAUAUAAAUCUUAUAUGCCUCCCCAGAGUCCCCAGACAAGCUUAGAUCCAUCUGUGGUUUAGACGAGUUAGGGCAAGCAAAUUUACAAACUCUCCUGGAGAUCUCAUGGAUAAGAUAGUGU
rnacentral:snRNA from 1 species